UACGGAGGGGGCUAGCGUUGUUCGGAAUUACUGGGCGUAAAGCGCGCGUAGGCGGACCUGCAAGUCGGGGGGUGAAAGCCCGAGGCUCAACCUCGGAACUGCCUUCGAUACUGCGGGUCUCGAGUCCGGGAGAGGUGAGUGGAAUUCCUAGUGUAGAGGUGAAAUUCGUAGAUAUUAGGAAGAACACCAGUGGCGAAGGCGGCUCACUGGCCCGGUACUGACGCUGAGGCGCGAAAAGCGUGGGGGAGCAAAC
rnacentral:rRNA from 1 species